rnacentral:rRNA from 1 species
AGUCCCGCAACGAGCGCAACCCCUGUUCUUAGUUGCCAGCACAUAAUGGUGGGGACUCUAAGAAGACUGCCUGGGAUAACCAGGAGGAAGGUGGGGAUGAUGUCAAGUCAGUAUGUCCCUUAUGUCCAGGGCUACACACGUGUUACAAUGGCUAGUACAAUGGGCUGCAAACCCGCGAGGGUAAGCUAAUCCCAAAAAACUAGCCCCAGUUCAGAUUGGAGUCUGCAACUCGACUCCAUGAAGCAGGAAUCGCUAGUAAUCGCGCAUCAGCACGGCGCGGUGAAUACGUUCCCGGGUCUU